rnacentral:rRNA from 2 species
GGUGACGAGUGGCGGACGGGUGAGUAAUGUCUGGGAAACUGCCUGAUGGAGGGGGAUAACUACUGGAAACGGUAGCUAAUACCGCAUAACGUCGCAAGACCAAAGAGGGGGACCUUCGGGCCUCUUGCCAUCAGAUGUGCCCAGAUGGGAUUAGCUAGUAGGUGGGGUAACGGCUCACCUAGGCGACGAUCCCUAGCUGGUCUGAGAGGAUGACCAGCCACACUGGAACUGAGACACGGUCCAGACUCCUACGGGAGGCAGCAGUGGGGAAUAUUGCACAAUGGGCGCAAGCCUGAUGCAGCCAUGCCGCGUGUAUGAAGAAGGCCUUCGGGUUGUAAAGUACUUUCAGCGGGGAGGAAGGUGUUGUGGUUAAUAACCGCAGCAAUUGACGUUACCCGCAGAAGAAGCACCGGCUAACUCCGUGCCAGCAGCCGCGGUAAUACGGAGGGUGCAAGCGUUAAUCGGAAUUACUGGGCGUAAAGCGCACGCAGGCGGUCUGUCAAGUCGGAUGUGAAAUCCCCGGGCUCAACCUGGGAACUGCAUUCGAAACUGGCAGGCUAGAGUCUUGUAGAGGGGGGUAGAAUUCCAGGUGUAGCGGUGAAAUGCGUAGAGAUCUGGAGGAAUACCGGUGGCGAAGGCGGCCCCCUGGACAAAGACUGACG